UUUGACGUUACCUACAGAAGAAGACACCGGCUAACUCCGUGCCAGCAGCCGCGGUAAUACGGAGGGUGCGAGCGUUAAUCGGAAUUACUGGGCGUAAAGACGCAUGCAGGCGGCCUCGUUAAGUCAGAUGUGAAAGACCCGGGGCGUUAACCUCGGAAUUGCAUUUGAAACUAGGCAGGCUAGAGUCUUGUAGAGGGGGGUAGGAAGUUUCAGGUGUAGCGGUGAAAUAGCGUAGAGAUCUGAAGGAAUACCAGUGGCGAAGGCGGCCCCCUCGGACAAAGACUGACGCUCAGAUGCGAAAGCGUGGGGAGCAAACAGGAUUAGAUACCCUGGUAG
rnacentral:rRNA from 1 species